rnacentral:rRNA from 1 species
UACGUAGGGUGCGAGCGUUGUCCGGAAUUAUUGGGCGUAAAGAGCUUGUAGGCGGUUUGUCGCGUCUGCUGUGAAAAUCCGGGGCUCAACCCCGGACUUGCAGUGGGUACGGGCAGACUAGAGUGUGGUAGGGGAGACUGGAAUUCCUGGUGUAGCGGUGAAAUGCGCAGAGUAUCAGGAGGAACACCGGUGGCGAAGGCGGUUCUCGUGGGCAUUAACCUGACGCUGGAGGAGCGAAAGCAUGGGGAGCGAACAGG